AGGAGAAGAAUGAUCUGCAGCUGCAAGUAGCAUCUGAAUCAGAGAAUCUGAAUGAUGCUGAAGAGAGAUGUGAGGGACU